GUGGGGAAUAUUGCACAAUGGAGGAAACUCUGAUGCAGCGACGCCGCGUGAGGGAAGAAGGUCUUCGGAUUGUAAACCUCUGUUGUCAGGGACGAUGAUGACGGUACCUGACGAGGAAGCCACGGCUAACUACGUGCCAGCAGCCGCGGUAAAACGUAGGUGGCAAGCGUUGUCCGGAAUUACUGGGUGUAAAGGGAGCGCAGGCGGGAGAGCAAGUUGGGAGUGAAAUCUGUGGGCUCAACCCACAAAUUGCUUUCAAAACUGUUUUUCUUGAGUGGUGUAGAGGUAGGCGGAAUUCCCGGUGUAGCGGUGGAAUGCGUAGAUAUCGGGAGGAACACCAGUGGCGAAGGCGGCCUACUGGGCACUAACUGACGCUGAGGCUCGAAAGCAUGGGUAGCAAACAGGAUUAGAAACCCUAGUAGUCC
rnacentral:rRNA from 1 species